rnacentral:snoRNA from 1 species
AAGACUCUACUUUCAGGGAUCAUUUCUUUAGUUUGGAACUAGAGGAUUGUGUUUCUACAGAGCUUGGUCUUGCUGUCCAUGAUGAUGAAUGAAGAUGUUUCCUUCAGAGCAGGAAGCUGGUGAGAAGACGAGAAUCUUCUUCACUGAUGAAGACUGUUCAGUGUUUCUGGAUGUGA